CACUAGAAAGCUAAACUGGACAACAGCAUCAGCCUUUUAAGCUGAAAAUUGGUGCCUUCCAACCACCUCUAGUGA
rnacentral:tRNA from 1 species